CAGCUGUUGCAUGUCUUCCUAUUGGGAAAAACGUUAAUUACUAUUAAUAAUCAGCCAUUGUUACGAUUCAUACGGGGAUAUGUUAUAAAGACGUUCGAUAAAGGCUCGGAGGAAUCGAGUUAAAUAUUAAGUUUCGCUGACGAUGAUCGAGAACACAUGGGUCGAGUAAUGAGUCAACCUUCACCAUGACGCCAUGUACCCGUUCAACAAAGUGGAAUGGAAACCUGAUGAGUCACUUUUGGCUUGGGAAUACUUGAAUGUCUUAUCUCCUUUUUAAGAAGAAAAAUUUGAUGUUCUUCAAGUGUUCGCUUGACUGGGAUUUCCACUAAAACGCAAGAACACUCUUGGUGAAUCCCGUGGACCGUUUGGCAUCGCUGCACCAGUUUGGCGAUUGUAAUUAAAAUGAAAGGGUGAGAUAAAAUACGCUCUUUAUCAUCGCGCACGGGGCGUGUUCAUCAUUAUUGACGUGAUUACUUAUAGUACUCCUUUGUCUGUCUCAUAUUUACCUUGUAAUAACAAUGUGAUUCAAAAAUAAAAGUGCGUUUUUUGUGCUUUUGGCAAAUUAUUUUUUAACUAAGG